rnacentral:rRNA from 1 species
UACGGAGGGUGCAAGCGUUGUCCGGAUUUAUUGGGUUUAAAGGGUGCGUAGGCGGCCCGGUAAGUCAGUGGUGAAAGCCUCCAGCUCAACUGGAGAACUGCCAUUGAUACUGCCGGGCUUGAGUACAGACGAGGUUGGCGGAAUUGAUUGUGUAGCGGUGAAAUGCAUAGAUACAAUCAAGAACUCCGAUUGCGUAGGCAGCUAACUAGGCUGUAACUGACACUGAGGCACGAAAGCGUGGGGAGCAAACAGG